GACGAACGCUGGCGGCGUGCUUAACACAUGCAAGUCGAACGGAAAGGCCCUGCUUUUGUGGGGUGCUCGAGUGGCGAACGGGUGAGUAACACGUGAGUAACCUGCCCUUGACUUUGGGAUAACUUCAGGAAACUGGGGCUAAUACCGGAUAGGAGCUCCUGCUGCAUGGUGGGGGUUGGAAAGUUUCGGCGGUUGGGGAUGGACUCGCGGCUUAUCAGCUUGUUGGUGGGGUAGUGGCUUACCAAGGCUUUGACGGGUAGCCGGCCUGAGAGGGUGACCGGCCACAUGGGGACGGAGAUACGGCCCAGACUCCUACGGGAGGCAGCAGUGGGGAAUAUUGCACAAUGGGCGGAAGCCUGAUGCAGCAACGCCGCGUGCGGGAGGACGGCCUUCGGGUUGUAAACUGCUUUCGCCUGUGACGAAGCGUGAGUGACGGGAAUGGGUAAAGAAGCACCGGCUAACUACGU
rnacentral:rRNA from 1 species